rnacentral:tRNA from 1 species
GAAGGUAUAGCUCAGUGGCAGAGUGCAUGCUUAGCAUGCAUGAGGUCGUGGGUUCAAUCACCAGUACCUCCA